rnacentral:rRNA from 1 species
GACGAACGCUGGCGGCGUGCUUAACACAUGCAAGUCGAACGGUAAGGCCCUUUCGGGGGUACCCGAGUGGCGAACGGGUGAGUAACACGUGGGUGAUCUGCCCUGCACUUUGGGAUAAGCCUGGGAAACUGGGUCUAAUACCGGAUAGGACUACGCGAUGCAUGUCGUGUGGUGGAAAGCUUUUGCGGUGUGGGAUGGGCCCGCGGCCUAUCAGCUUGUUGGUGGGGUGAUGGCCUACCAAGGCGACGACGGGUAGCCGGCCUGAGAGGGUGUCCGGCCACACUGGGACUGAGAUACGGCCCAGACUCCUACGGGAGGCAGCAGUGGGGAAUAUUGCACAAUGGGCGCAAGCCUGAUGCAGCGACGCCGCGUGGGGGAUGACGGCCUUCGGGUUGUAAACCCCUUUCAGCACAGACGAAGCGUAAGUGACGGUAUGUGCAGAAGAAGCACCGGCCAACUACGUG